rnacentral:ribozyme from 1 species
GCCAAGGCCUACAAGCUCUUAGAGAGCCUCCGACAGGGCGCUCUUUGUUGCCUCUAAUGGUGAGAUCUCAGAGCAUGUGGGCAUCAAGUCCGGCGUUCCGCAGGGCGCCAUCUGGU